rnacentral:sRNA from 12 species
CAGCUUUGAAGCAAGAGGCUGUUUCAAGUCGCAGGUUCUUGUGGAGCUUGACCGAGGGUUGUGUAUUACCUCAACUUGAAUAGGCUUAUUAAGCUGAAAGAAAAUGCUCAUC